GAUACACCAAAAAGGAAGAAGAUUCCAGUGAAUUGGAGAUGAAAAUUAGAUGUUUUAAAAAGGCAAAUUCUCUCUCUCCUUUUCUUGGAUUUUCUCUCCUGUGGACCUGGAGACAGCUGUGAAAAAGAGGGACCUGCAGUGACCAUUCAUUCAACUUUCCUGAUUCCCCCAAUGUGCUUAUUGGAGCAUCACCACCUGGUCUGUACCUCCAUGUAGACUGUGCCUCCAGUCUACCUUAGGUGUGCAGUGGUAGCAGGCCGGCUGUAUCAGUCAUUCUCUGCAGAACCCCCACUGGCAGCAGGGCCAGAAGCCUUACUGCGUGGCUGGCCUUUUGGGAAGACUGCUGCUGAGAGAACACUGAGCCUUCGCCAAAGGUGGGCUGUGGGCCUGUGAGCCUCAGCAAGUAUCUUAAACCAACCCUGGUGUACCACGUGUCCUUAAUAAAAUUAUAUGGGGAUAAGCUCGAA